rnacentral:rRNA from 1 species
UACAGAGGGUGCGAGCGUUGUUCGGAAUUAUUGGGCGUAAAGGGCGCGUAGGCGGUGCGGUAAGUCACCUGUGAAAUCUCCUGGCUCAACUGGGAGCUUGCAGGCGAAACUGCCGUGCUGGAGUGUGGGAGAGGUGCGUGGAAUUCCUGGUGUAGCGGUGAAAUGCGUAGAUAUCGGGAGGAACACCUGUGGCGAAAGCGGCGCACUGGACCACAUCUGACGCUGAGGCGCGAAAGCUAGGGGAGCAAACAGG